ACGGGUCCGGGCUGUCUGAGGGGGCCUUGAAAGGCCCGAAUGUAGGCCGCCCUGAGCCGGGAAGCCGGAAACGGCGGGUCUUGGGCCUGCGAGGCCUCUGGGAAUCCAUCGUGGGCAUGUCAGAAAGGAGUCUACCUAUAGCUGCGGCUCUGCUCGGGGCCCAGACGUAAACAAGACUUUAAGAACCGCAGUGGUUUGCCUCUGCUUGGGUUGCCUCUAACAUCAUUGAGCUAGUCCUGUAAUUUAGAAGGACGGGUCCCUGAGGAUUGGUUAGCAGGUGGGAGGUGUGCGCCUUCAAGCUUCUUCACCCUGGCCCAACCCUAGGUCAGUUGAGUGGCAGUGCAUAGGGAAGUUAGGUGGAGAAGCUUCUCUCCUCCCCCAAGGUCUUUAGAAUCAUUGUGUCUUGAUGUUGUCUGAGGGUUGAGUCUUCCUGGGGAAUUGCUAAGCCAGUUUAGCGAGAGGUUCCUCCCAGCUCUGAACCGCUGUCUGUGUGUGUAGUGUUUGGGAAAGCAAGAAGUGGCUCUGUAAAUCUGAAGUUCACGUACAAGUAUAUGACCCCAACCCGCCUUCACCCCCACUAGCGAGAGGCAGUGCCUGUUGGGGUUACACAAGAGUGACAGAAGCUGAGUUCCCCUUUCUUUUUUUUCUUUUUUUUUUUUCUUUUUUCUUUUUUGGAGCUGAGGACCGAACCCAGGGCCUUGUGCUUGCUAGGCAAGCGCUCUACCACUGAGCUAAAUCCCCAACCCCUAGAUCCCCUUUCUUAACACACAAAUCUAAAGCAGCAGUUUCCAACUUGUGGGUCGCAAUCCCUCUGAGGUUCAUAUGGGUCGUCAAAGACCUUCGAAAAACACAGAUAUUUAUGGCUAAUAACUAGCAAAAUUACAGUUAUGAAGCAGCAAUGAAAAUAAUUUUAUAGUUGGGGGUCACCACAGCAUGAGAUGUUUUAAAGGGUUGCAGCUUUAGGAAGGUUGAGAACCACUGAUCUGAAGUGAGAUGAUUCUCAAGCUCAAUUGUAGCAGAUGUUCUAAGCUAGAGAUGUCCCUAAUUCAGGCCCUUUAACCAGAUGGUAGUGAAGGAUAGGAACAUGAAUUCCCAUCUCUGAAUCCUAAAGGAUUCCUUUGAAGAAAGGUACUUGUAGCUGGAAGAGGCUGGGUGAUUCACCCAAUGUAGAAAUUACUUCGGAGGUUAAGUUGAGCUCAUGCAGUUAUUGUUUACCUUGAAAAAUGGCCCCCUAAGUGAAAAAUAACGUUAAAAUAGGAAACUUAUUAAAAUUAAAGAGCAGUUGUGGAUUUUAUGAUUUUAACGUUAACCUGCAAGAAAAAUUGUUCACCUUUAUUAUUUGAGUGGAAGCGAGGAAGGAGUGGUUCAAGAUGCUGGGUUGUGGGAUCCAGCCCCAAACCUUAGAAGAGAAGUAGGCUGCCUGGGGCAGGGCUUAACAAGUAGUUGGCACUUAAUGUGAGUUCUGUGGAUUGACUGGAACUUGAGGAAGAUUUUUUUUCCUGUUACAAAGAUGUUUAGUUUUUUUUUUUGAGGAAGAGCCUUAUUUAGAUAAAUCUAAAGGUGAACACUGUUACCUCUUCUGGCUUCUGGCUUUUCUUACUCCAGCUCUGCCUGCUCCCCUGUAGGAUUUUCGGGAGCCUGUGUUUCUGUCUUUGCAGCAGACACCCUAUCAUUGAUAAAAAUCAUACUAGGAUAUUCUUCCUGAUGAACUGUUUAGCAGUGAGCUCCCCUGUGGAAUGCCAUCCAGAUCUUUCCAUUAGCAUUAUGGAUUCCUUGCUCUUUUACACAUACUCUUCUCCUUUACACACAGUGUACCCCAGCACUUGGUGCUCAGAGGUAAUAGGACUUCAGAGUCAAACAAACAUGGGCUUCAAUCUCACCCUGUCAGUUACUGGGUUAUUGUUGGCAAAUUGUUUAAUGUCCUUAGAUAUGGACUUUUUCAUUGGCCAUAUAAGCACCAUCUGUCUCAUAAAGACUGUGAGAUGGCCACAAUGCUACUUUGUGUGAAACACUUAGCCCAGCAUGAAGAAAGAACCCAGUAAGAACUAAAGAUAAGACCAGCAUCCAGUAAUUGUUAGUUUAAUUUGUCUGUCACUUGACUUACUUUUCUCUCUGCUUCCUUCUUCACUCAUUAAGCACUGCCCCACCACCACCUCUUUCCUCCCACUGAGUUAAGCAUUAUAGACACUUGGCAAGUGGUUUAACCUCUGGACUGUAGCCACAGCCUUUUUGUUUUGAGACAGGAUUUUUUCAGUUACACUUGCUGGCCUGUACUCUGUAGCUUAGGCUGGCUUUGAUAUUGUGGUCCUCCUUUUAGCUUCCUAAAUAGCUGAAAUUGUUUUUGUACUUUUGUGUUUAUUUUAAAUGAUAAUGUGCAUAUGUAUGAGUGGACAUGUGCAUAUGAGUUGGGGUGCCUUUGGAGACCAUAGCAGAAGUUGUGUCCCCUGGAGCUGGAGUAACAGAUGUCUGAACCAUGUGGGUUUGGGAAUUGAACCUAGGUCCUCUGGAAGACCAGCCAGUGCUCUUAACUGCUACAGUAUCUCUCCAGCCCCUAUUCAUUCAUCCUAUCUAUCUAUCUAUCUAUCUAUCUAUCUAUCUAUCUAUCUAAUCAACCAAAUCAAUCAAUCAAUCUAAUCUAUCUAAUCAAUCAAAUCUAUCUAUCUAUCAUCUAUCUAUCUAUCUAUCUAUCUAUCUAUCUAUCUAUCUAAAUAUUAUCUAUCUCUGUUUGUUGGGGCAAUUUGCCAACACUUUGUAGCCAAGGUUGGCUUUGAAUUUACGAUAUAUCCCUGGCUUGUCAAGAAUUAGCAAAGUCAAAAAAAAAAAAAAAAGAAUUAGCAAAGUCUUCCUAAAUGCUGGGUUUACAGGUGUGAGUUCCAUACCUGACAGCCAACUUCCUCUUUGAAAAGAUGGCCAUGGUUGACUAGAAUGUUGUCUCCUCCAUUCAAUCAUAACUCUAUGGUAUUUGUCAGUGAUAUUUUUCUAGAAAUUUCCUGACAUAUGUUUUGGAUCCCAGUUCUUUGUAUGCUGGAGAUAUUCAGGACUUUUAUGGACAGAACAUUAUCAGAAGCAGGAAAGAAGGCCAUCGAGGUAGCUCAGCACUUGCUGCCAAGCCAGAUGACCUGAAUUUAGUCCUUCGGAUUCACAUAAAAGGAGGAGAAAAUCCAGCUCCCACAGAGUGUCCUCUGACCUUCACAGAGUGGUGCUUUUUAUUUGUUUGUUUUAUUUUGAGACAUGGUUUCUCUGUGUAUCCCUGGUUGUUCUGGAACUCCCUCUGUAGAUCAGUCUAGCCUUGAACUCAGAGAUCUGUCUGUCUCUACCUCUCAAGUGCCAGGAUUAAAGACCUGGCUACCACUGCCAGGCUCAGGGUGGUGCUUUUAAAAUCAGGAGAGGCUAGAGAGAUAGUUCAGCAGUUAAGAGCAUUGGCUGUUCUUCGAGAGGACCCAGGUUAAAUUUCUAACACCCUCAUGGCUCACUAGAGUUUGUAACUCCAGUUUCCACUGGAUCCAACACCCUCUUCCGGCCUCCGUGGGCAUUGUAUCUACAUGGUACACAAACAUACAUGCAAGCAAACACCCGCACACAUAAAAUAACAUGAAAAAAAAUAGAAAAGCAGGAAACAGUUACCCAAACCUCCUUUGCACAAAGGUUUGCUUUCUAUGCUUUUGAAGGUGAUACUAAAAGCCUGGGCUUCAGACUGCUAUUGCUAGAUUUUUCAUCUGCAAAUAUCUCAAUAAUUCUGAAAAAGUUCAUGACAUUAAAAUGGAAUAAAAUUAUUAUUAUUUUAAAAAGUAAUAAAGACUGGAGAGAUGACUCGAGUGGAUAUAGUUUGUCCAGCAAAUGCAAAGACUGCACCCACAUAAAGUGUAAUUCCAAGGCUCAGGAAGUAAAGACAGUGUCUUAAGGCAAAGGAGACUUGAGGUCAGUGAGAGACCCUGUCUCAGAAAUAAAUUGGAGAGUGGUAAGACACCUGACAUCAAGGCUGGUCUCCAUUUGUACUCUCACACACUUAUGCAUACAUGUAGCAUUUGUACCAUAUAAAUUAAACAAACCAGUAAUUGGCAAAGGCCUGCACUCCCAGUAUUUGAGAGACUGGUGGUGAGGACAGCCUGGGCAGCAUACUGAGACCCUGUCUCAAAAACAAAAGUGAGAGAGGAAAUAAGAAGGUAAACUUAGUUAGUGGAGUGCUUGCCUAUUAUCUAUAAAGUCUUUAGUUCACAGCUCUGCAAAACUGGGCUUAAUGGCUCACCUCUAUAAUUGCAGCACUCUAGAGGUAGAGACAGGAAAAUCAGAAAUUCAAGAUCACCAUCUGCUAUGUAGGUUGUUUAAGACCAUCCUGGAAUACAUAAGACACUGCAUAAAAACACGCAAACAAAAGAAAACACCCAUAAUAGUUUAAUAUAAUCAAAUAUGUAUUUAGUGGUCAGCAUCCACAUGGGAGCUCACAGGCAUUUGCAAUUCCAGUGCCAGGGAAUCUGAACCCCUCUUCUGGCCUCUGAGGGUACCAGUCAUGCAUGUGCUUCACAGACACAUAUGCAGGCAAAAUAUAUGCACAUAAAAUAAAGUAAUAAAAAGUUUUUUAAAAGAUUAAAAAAUUAAAGAAAAUUUAAAAUGUAUGUACUUAGUAUUAGGUUUAUGAUUGCUUCUAGUUUUUAUUAUUUAUUUAUUUAUUUAUUUAUUUAUUUAUGAAUGGCUUUUUGAGACAGGGUUUCUAUAUAUAACAGCCCUGGCUGACCUGAAACUCUUUUUGUAUACCAGCCUGGCCUCAGAACUCAAAGGUCCUUCUACUUCUGCCUCCAGAGUGCUGGGAUUGAAGUUGUGGGUCACCAUGCCUAGCUAAAAGUUCUAAAAGUUUAAUCAGGAUACACACACACACACACACACACACACACACACACACACACACACUCUCACACUUCAGUCCUGAUGCUCUCAAGAAUUUUAGGGGGUGUUAUCUGUAUGAUGUAUGUGUAUGAGGUACAGGUACACUCAGCCAUAUGCUUAUGUGGAAGUCUCUCUGAUGAUAACCUUCAGGAGUUGGUUUUCUCUUUCCACCUUGAAAUCUGGGUUUGUUUAACAAAUGUCUUUACUCACUGAACUCUCUCAAAUUGUUUUUAGGGUGGUGAUUUGCUUCUUCUUUUUUUCCCCCAAGACAGGGUUUCUCUGUGCAGCCCCAGCUGUCCUGGAACUUGUCCUGUGGAUCAGGCUAGCCUUGAACUCACAGAAAUCCUCCUGCCUCUGCCCUGCAACUGCUAGGAUUAAAGGUGUGUGCUGCCACUGCCAAGUGGUGAUUUGUCUUGUUGAUCCAGUUGGGGUAUUAUAAUCCCUGACUAUCCUGGAACUCCCUAUGUAGCCCAGACUGGCUACAGAUUGAUCUCUCUCAUCCCAGUUUAAUGUUGAGAGCUGUGAGCUACCAUGUCUGGCUCAAAUAUUUUAAGAUUUAUUUAUUUUAUGUAUGUGAGUGUACUGUUGUUCUCUUCAGACAACAGAUACCAGAAAGGGUCAUUUGAUCCCAUUACAAAUGGUUGUGAGCCACCAUGUGGUUGCUGGGAAUUGAACUCAGGACCUCUGGAAGAGCUGUCAGUGCUCUUAACUGCUGAGCCAUCUCUCCAGCCACUCAAAUAUUUUAGUAUAUUAUCUGUCUCUAGUCUUUCUAAUUUAAUGAAGAGGUUGAACCAAUUAAAGCCAAUGGUUAAUAGGCUUUCCAUCUAUCUCAAUUUUGCUCAUUGUACUUCAGCUAUAUAUGUUUGCCUGCCCCUUGAAUUUAUUUAAAAAAAAAGAAAAAAAUAUUAUCAUUAUCAUUAUCAUCAUCAUUAUCGUUAUUAUUAUUAUUAUUAUUAUUAUUAUUAUAAUCAAGGGAGGAGAGAUUACUGUGACUAAGAGCACAAGUCACUCUUCUCAGCACUGGAGUUUAAUUCCCAGCACCCACAUCAGGCAGUUGCCAAGUGUUCUUAACUCUCAUUCCAAGGAGAGUUCUUUUGAUCUCUUCAGGGACUGAAUUCACAUGUAUAAACCUUCACAGAGACACACAUAUAUACACAAAUUUUAUGUGUGUGGGUAUUUUACCUGCAUGUCUGUGUACCACAAGCAUUCCCACAGAUGCCAGAAGAGGGUGUUUGAUCCCCUGGAACUGGAGUUACAGAUGGUUUCAAGCCACUACGUGUGUUCUGAGAAUCAAACCUCCAUCCUCUGGAAGAACAACUAGUGCUCCUAACUGCUAAGGCCAAUUUUCUAGCCCCUGUCCUUUGUUUUUCUUUUCUUUUUUGGGGAGUGGGGUGGGGAGAAAGUGGGAAUGGAUACUGGAGAUUGAACCUAGAGCCUUGGGCAUGCAAAGCUGGCACUCUACCAUUGAGCCACAUCUUUAGCCUUUUUCUUUCUCUUUCUUUUUGCCCCGUAAAUCAAUAGUUAGAUCUAGAUGUUUGAUUAGGUUCUGAUUCUGACUGCAUUCCUUUUGGUUUUUAUGGUUUUUGCUUGUUUAUUUAUUUUGAUGCAAAGUCUUACUAUAUAAUGACAACAAGGUUGUUCUUGGACUUGUAAAUCAUAAUUGUCUUUCCUUAGCCUCAUAAGUAUUGGGAUUGUAGGAACAGAACACCAUGAUUUAUAGAUCUAUAUCUGUAUGUGUCUGUAUAAUUACAUAUGUAUGUGUAAUUUGUGUUUUUAUUCUUUCUCUUUUGAGGCAGGGUGUUGGUAUGGAGCCAUGGUUGGCCUGGAACUUGUGUAGACCAGACUGGCCUUGAACUUACAUAGGUCUGCCUGUUCCUGCUUUCUGAGUGCUGGGAUUAGAGAUAUGCACCACUGCACCUGGACUUGCACUUCCAUUAGGAAACCCCCAAUGCCUAGUUAUUCCUCUUUUGUGACAUAAGAAAUCAUUGGCAUUUAUUUACCAAAACCAUUAUUUUAUUAAGGGCUGCAAGAUGGAAAUUGUGUUAGAUGGUAUCCCUUUUCAAGCAGGUGUGAGGACCUGAGUUUGAGUCUCUAGAACCCACAUAAAGCCAGGUAUGUUAAUAUAUGUCUAUAAUCUCAGCAUUCCUAUGGGGUAAAGUUGUCCACUGACCCCUGGGGUAUACACAAAAGCCUGACAGUUUAAAUGAGGAAGGGUUUUGGGCUCAUGGCUUCAGAAGCCUCAGUGCAUUUUAAAUUGGCUCCAUUGUUUCUGGGCCUGUGCCGAGGAAAGUCAUUAAAGAUGGAGAAUUAGUGCUGCUUACCUCAUGGUGGUCAGGAAGCAAAGGCAAUCAAGACGGUAAAGCUUUCAAAGAUACUACAACCUCAUUGACCUACUUCUUUCAGAUAGUUCCCUCUUCUUAAGCUUCUACCACCACCAAAACACCUCUGCUAGCUAGGGAUGGUUAUCAGUUCCUGAGCCUGUGAGAGGAUAGUUCAUAUUCAAAGAGUAACUGAUACUCUCUGUUUUUACUACAAUUGCUUGCAUGAAUAGUUCUAUGCCUGAGAACAUUUGUUUGUUUGAAUAUUUGAAUGUUUGAAUGUUUAUAGGCUGGAGAGAUGGCUCAGUGGUUAAGAGUACUGAUUGCAGGGGCUGGGGAUUUAGCUCAGUGGUAGAGCGCUUACCUAGGAAGCGCAAGGCCCUGGGUUCGGUCCCCAGCUCCGAAAAAAAGAAAAAAAGAACCAAAAAAAAAAAAAAAAAAAGAGUACUGAUUGCUCUUCCAGAGGUCCUGAGUUCAAAUCCCAGCAACCACAUGGUAGUUCACAACCAUCUGUAAUGAGAUCUGAUGCCCUCUUCUGGUGUGUCUGAAGACAACCACAGUGUACUUAUAUAUAAUAAAUAAAUAAAUCUAAAAAAAAAGUUUAUAUAGCCCUGGCUGUCCUGGAACUAUCUUUGUAGACCAGUCUGACCUCAAACUCAAAAGAUUUUCUUACUUCUUCCUCCUGCAUGAUGGGAUUAAAGGUGAGCCCCACCACUCUUGGUAUUGGGAGCUUUUAAUUAUCAACUAUUUGGUUACUCAGAAAUAAAGUUUAUACUAUAUAGGAGACAGUAGGUCCCACGUUCACUAGCUUUUAAAAUAAUGAAUUCUUGGGCUGGAAAUGUAAUUAAAUUGGUAGUGAUUGCCUAGAAUAUACAAGAUCCUGGAUUUGAUUCCCAGGAUCACAAAAUCAGGAUAUGGUGAUAUGUAUAUGCAGAGGUAAAGGCAGGAAAAUCAGAAGUUCUAGAUCACCCUUAGUUAUGUAGUGAGUUCAAUUCCAGUGUAGGAUCUUUGAGACCCUUUCUCAGUAAUGAUUGAAUGAAUGGAUGAAUGGAUGAACGAUGAGUCCUUGAGCCUUACUCAAAGAUACUAAUGAGGUUUGUUUGUCAUAACACUAAUGAGGGACUUAGAAGACUGCUCAGUUGGUAAAAGUGCUUGCCACAUGUGUUGGCUAGUUUUUAUGUCAACUUGACAUAAGCUAGGGUCAUGAGAGAGGAGGGAGCCUCAAUUAAGAAGAUGCCUCCAUAAGAUCAGGCUGCAGGCAACAAGCUUAUAGGGCAUUUUCUUUGAUUGAUGUUGGAGGGCCCAGUCCAUUGUGGGUGGAGCUACCUCUGGGCUAGUGUUCCUAAGCUCUGUAAGAAAGCAGGGUGAGCAAGCCAGGGAGAGCAAGCCAGUAAACAGGACUCCUUCAUGGUUUCUGCCUCCAGGUUCCUACCCUGUCUGACUUCCUUUGUUGAUGAACAGUGAUGUGGAAGCAUAAUCCAAAUAAACCCUUUCCUCUCCAGGUUGCCGUGGCUAUGAUGUCUUAUCACAGCAGUAGGAACCCUGAGACACCAGAAAGCAUGAAUACCUGAUUUCAGCUUCCCAGCAUCCAUUUAAAAGCAGGACUCACAGUGCAUAUCUGUAACCCCAGUGCUUGUGGGACAUGUAGGAGACAGGUGGACCCUGGUGCUUGUUGGCCAGUGAGAGUAUCAAAAUAUAAGAAGGAACAGGGUGGUGGUGGCCCAUGCCUUUAGUCUCACUACUAGGAAGGCAGAGGCAGGCAGAUCUUUGAGUUUUAGGCCAGUCUAUAGAGUGAAUUUCAGGCCAACUGUGGCUACACAGAGAAAACUCUAUCUCAAAAAACCAACCAAACAAACAAACAAAACCAAACUAAAAAACGAUGGAGAGUGAUGGAGAGUGUCUGAGGAAGAUAAUUGACAUUGACCUCUGGUUUCCAUAUGUAUACAUAUCUGCAUGCACACUACAUGCAUAUAAACACAUUAAUGGAUCUUAUUUCUUAAGCUUAGAUGUAUCAGACUAAUAUUGUCUUUUGCUUAGUAGGAGUUUAUUUGGCUUGGCUGCCGUGUGUGUGUGUGUGUGUGUGUGUGUGUGUGUGUGUGUGUGUGUGUGUGUAGCUAUAUGGCAUGUGUGAGUUAUGAAUAUUUUUGCUCACCUGUGCAUGCAUGGAACCAGAGGUCAACUCAGGUAUCACCCUCUGUCACUCUCUGUCUUAUGUUUUUGUGAGGCAGGAGCUUUCAUUGAACAUGGAACUUGCCAUUUCAUCUAUACUGGCACUGGCUGGAUAGAGAGCACCGGGGUUCACUGCUCUCUGCCCAUUUCUCCAGCUGGGUUUACAGGUGUGUAAUAUCAUGCCAUGGUUUUAUGUGCAUGCUGGGGGUCUGAAAUAUAGCUCAGGCUGGCCUCAACCCGUGAUCCUAGAACUCUAGGCUGGGCUAGUGAGCAGUUUUAUAAAACUGAAGGUACAAAUGUUGAUAUUGUCUUCCAUUAGUCACAAGUUAUUUGGUGUUGAUGAAUUGUUUGGAAGGCUAGGAAUGUGGCUGGAAAGUUAGACAGAGAUCAACUCUUGAAAGAUUGCAAAAUCCAGAGGGCUUUUCCUUGAGUUUGGAGUAUGGAACUUGACUUUUAGAGGUAACUGCAAUUGGAAAGUAGGUUUGUGAUAGAGACUGCUUUUAAAGAUACAUUUCAUUAUUUUAUGUGUAUGAGGGUUUUACUUAAAUGUAUGUCUGUAUACCAUGUGCAUAUCUGGUGCCUUUAGAGGUUAGAAGAUGAUGUUGGGUCCUCUAGAGGAGUUACAGUGGUUAUGAUCUGCUGUGUGGGUGCUGGGAAUUGAACCUGGGUUUUCUUCAAGAGCAAGUGCUCUUAACUUCUGAGCCUACUCUACAGCCUCAGUCUGUAGGUUCUUAUAGGCAUCUGAUAAGAGGUGAUGACAACUUGUGACACCAGGGGAGGUGAUCAUGGCUCUUCAGUAUGUUUGUGAAUUACUAAUGUGGAGCUAGUUGCUGAGUGACUAGUCGAGUGUUCUCACUGUCAUUCUUUCUUUAGUUACUAGGAAGCAGGUGUCAUGGUGGGGUCUUGAAUGAGUGGUACAAAACUAUCACAUAGGCUUCACCUAGGGCAGGUGUGCCCAAGAUGCCAAAAUUCAAAACAGCAUUUAGUAUUCGGUAGGCACAGGGUACUUGUGGGGAAGGGAUAAAUAUGUGAGUGAAUUUCUUUUUAGGGUGGUAAAAAUGUCCUAAAAUUGUGAUGAGUUUUGAAAUAGGUAUAUUCAGUACUGAAAUUUACUGAAAACUGCUCAGGCUAUGGAAGAGAUGUGGACAGCGGAGGGAGGGGACAUGCCUUUUAUUUCACCCUAGCAAUUGUGAUACUGAGGUAGGAAGAUGAGUUCAAGGACAGCUUUGGCUCAUAAGGAGACCUUGUCUUGAACAAAACCAAAACUACAAAACCAAAAUAACUUCUUUUUGUUUGCUUGGUUUGUUUUGGUUUUUGAGAUAAUAUUUAGCCCUGGCUGUCCUGGAACUCUCUCUGUAGACCAGGCUGGCUUUGAACUCGAAUUCACCUGCCUCUAUCUCCCAGGUGCUGAGAUUAAAGGUGUACACCACCAUGCUUAGCAAUUUCUUUAUAUCAUUUUGUGUGAAAAUAUUUAUGUGUUCCAUAGUUCCUUUGUUUUGCCAAAGGAGACUAAACAGAAUUUAGAAUUUAGAAAUAAGUAUAGCUUAAACUAGCUCACUUCUAAAUCCAUCAGAAUUAGAUAUGAUCCAAAGGUAGAGAUGUCACAGUUCUAACAAUCUAGUGAUCACAAUAGAGGUGGGACAUUGGAGAAAUGUUUGCGGAAGGCAGUAACCUAUGGACAUUCUGCACUAUGGAGGGAAGGGAAUAAACAUGAGUCAGUGAAUGAUUGAGCCUCAAACAUACCUCAAGUUUUUCCUUCUUUUAUUUAAGGAUCUGUAUUGUCCCAAUUGCCUUGGUCAAUGACCUCACUAUAUGAAGAGACACUGGUGGCCAAGGAUCAAAAAGCUGGUGGUGAUAUCAAACAGCAACGUGUCUCCUGCAUAAGAGCAAGUAGACAUGAGAUGAAGAACUGAACCAUCAUCCCUGAGGGCUGAGAGCUGUCUCUAAUGGCUUUGUCUUUAGUCCCCUGUCACCUCUUCUGUUGAUGGAGGGUACCUGCUGCAGCAUCCUGGUUCAUUCAGCUUACAGCUCAAACAACCAACUAUAAUCCAGCUCAUAUAAGGGCCUACAUAAAGGACAAACAGAUACAAAGAAAUGCUAUAAUAGACCCUCUG